rnacentral:rRNA from 1 species
UACGUAGGUGGCGAGCGUUAUCCGGAAUUAUUGGGCGUAAAGAGCGCGCAGGUGGUUGAUUAAGUCUGAUGUGAAAGCCCACGGCUUAACCGUGGAGGGUCAUUGGAAACUGGUCGACUUGAGUGCAGAAGAGGGAAAUGGAAUUCCAUGUGUAGCGGUGAAAUGCGUAGAGAUAUGGAGGAACACCAGUGGCGAAGGCGGCUUCCUGGUCUGUAACUGACACUGAGGCGCGAAAGCGUGGGGAGCAAACAGGAUUAGAUACCCCCGUA